UACGUAGGGACCAAGCGUUGUUCGGAUUUACUGGGCGUAAAGGGCGCGUAGGCGGCGUGUUAAGUCACUUGUGAAAUCUCUAAGCUUAACUUAGAACGGUCAAGUGAUACUGAUGUGCUAGAGUGCAGAAGGGGCAACCGGAAUUCUUGGUGUAGCGGUGAAAUGCGCAGAUAUCAGGAGGAACACCGAUGGCGAAGGCAGCCUCCUGGGCCGACACUGACGCUGAGGGCACGAAAGCGUGGGGAGCAAACAGG
rnacentral:rRNA from 1 species